rnacentral:rRNA from 1 species
CGCCAGACUCCUACGGGAGGCAGCAGUGGGGAAUAUUGGGCAAUGGGCGCAAGCCUGACCCAGCAACGCCGCGUGAAGGAAGAAGGCUUUCGGGUUGCAAACUUCUUUUGACAGGGAGGAGUAGAAGACGGUACCUGUCGAAUAAGCCACGGCUAACUACGUGCCAGCAGCCGCGGUAAUACGGAGGAUGCGAGCGUUAUCCGGAUUUAUUGGGUUUAAAGGGUGCGUAGGCGGGUUAUCAAGUCAGCGGUAAAAUCGUGGAGCUCAACUCCAUCCAGCCGUUGAAACUGAUGAUCUUGAGUGGGCGAGAAGUAUGCGGAAUGCGUGGUGUAGCGGUGAAAUGCAUAGAUAUCACGCAGAACUCCGAUUGCGAAGGCAGCAUACCGGCGCCCGACUGACGCUGAAGCACGAAAGCGUGGGUAUCGAACAGGAUUAGAUACCCGCGUAA